rnacentral:lncRNA from 1 species
UGGAUGGUUGGCCUCUUGGUUACAAGCAUGUACAUUAUGGCUCUCUCCUUGCCUGGAACUGGAUAUGAGAAAUGGUCAGAAGGUUGCAGAUUGCCCAUACUUCAUAGCAGAGCAACAGGGGGGACUUAGGGACAAAAAGGCUCAAAGGCAGGGAAGACUGAGGAAGCUAAGUUACUGGCCAUAUGUUUAAUAAAUAUAAGCUUAAUGGCAGUGAAUGUAUUAAUGUCAGCGAAGACAAGUCUAUGAAGGACUGUCUGUGGAUCCAGGGAGGAAUUUCAGAAGAGCCAGGAUUAGUCAAUCAAAUUAAACUCAAUAUCACCCAAAUAAAGUUGGUCAGGAUCAAAAUACAUUUAAAUGAGAAUUAAAAUGCCAUUUGUCCAUCACCUAAUGGCUCAAUUUGCUCCUGCCUUGGGUGUGCACACCCUGCUCUGGAACAGACCAGAGCUCUAAAGAAGUGACUGGAAGUUGUGAAUGUCAUUAUUAUGAAGCUUCAAAUUUGCUCUCCUCUUUAGGACAGAGACAUGGCAUUAGAGAAGGGCAGAAAACUGCACUUGGCUGUGCAUAGAGAACGCUAGAGACCUCUUGUGCAAGAGAGGGGACUAGGUUGCGUAGUGUAAUGAGAGAAGCAUGGGUUUUGAGACCGCUACAAUGUCUGUUUCUUCUUGGCCAACAUUUCAGUAAGAGUAGUAAGCAUAUCUCCACAAUAGGGUU